UUCGAACCUUUUAACAUAUACUAUUAUUCUUAAUAAUCUCAAAAUCUUCUUGUACAAAUUUUGAUUUAGCUGCAUCAACAUUAGUUUUUACAUGAAACUCCAUUAAUUUAUUUGAAAAAACAUGGUUUUUAUAAAUCCUUAAAAAUGUCAUGGAUCAGAAUUUAUUUUAGUAAAUGCAUAAUUAUAAGAAAAAUAGGGAGUGACCAUACAUGGUAGUGGUUGUAAACAAUGCUCAGUAAAUCAGUAAAUAGUCAGAAGCUGUCUCAAAACAUAAUCCAAACCACUUGUCUGGGAUAGAAAAGUAAAAUAAAUGUUAGUGAUUCGCGGCAACAUUGGUACUACUCUAAGCACGACUAUUAAAUUGCAUCUAAGAGAAAAUUUUGUUCCACCAACGAUGAGUUUGAAGAAAAUGAACAGACGAAUAAAGGAUUUAGAGUCGAUACAGUUGAUGAUUUUAAGUCACCCAGAAAAGCCUUAGAUACUUAAUAAUGUCUAAUUCACACAUACUUAUUUAAUACAAUGGAUUGUACUUAUUAUGGUAUUCAAAACUGAAAUAUAUUAUGUACCACAUACAAGGAGUUAGGUAGUGGAGCCAAUGGUUUGACAAUUAUUCAGACGUUGACUUUCUUGAAGAUAAUUCUACCAACUCAGAUGAAGCCAUACUUUAUAGGAGCGAAUAAUGAAACUAUAUAUAGUUUUAAUUUUUAGGUAAUACAAUUUUGCUGAUCAAGAAUCCAAUUUUAAUAACGCAGAGGGCCUCAACAAAUUUAAAUUGCAAAGAAACACAUAACUAGUUUGGACAUUGGUAUCUUUUCUGAAGGGAAAGUGCAUCUAGUUGGAUGCGUUAUACAGGUUGUCAAACCCGUUCCCAUUUACGAGGAAAGACAAACUUCUUUGAAAAAAAGUAUGCAAUUACCAAAACACUUCAGUGGCUGUUAUUAAAAUUCUUCAAAUUUUAACAACAGACAUAAUUGAUGAAGACUUUUAAAUUAGGUGUAUUCUGAUAGGUACCUAUUUCCUUUAGUUUGUGUAUUUAUUUUUCCUAUGUUUCCCCCUACCACCUAUAAGAAAAUAAUUGGUUACUUUAUUUGACUAAAAUAAACUAUACCCAUACACUGUGGAGUUAUGUUUGUAAAUAAGAUUAUGUUGUCAAUGACUAAUUUAUGAAAAAAUUAUUUUUAAACUUUAUAAUAAAAAGAAUAUUAGGUACUAAUUUAAAAUCAUUAUAAAUUACACUAUCAUACUUUAAAUAUUUGUCGUAUUCAUAUUUUGUAUUUUUAAAUUUAUAAAUAUAUGACUAAUGCAGUAA